AGCGAUGUAUAGGUCAGCAGCCUAUACGGAUAGCCGCCAUGGCUUGGCAUGAUGUAGCCGAAGUACAGGAUGACCGCCUCGUAAGCAUGCCAGUAAGCCCCAAGA
rnacentral:ncRNA from 1 species